rnacentral:rRNA from 1 species
CUGGCGGCGUGCCUACCACAUGCAAUUCGAGCGAUGAAGCCUUCGGGGUGAAUUACCGCCGGACGGGUGAGUUACACGUGGGGUACCUGCCGUUAUAGAGGGGAUAAGCCUUCCGAAAGGAAGAUUUAUACCGCAUAACAUGUUUUUAUCGCUUGGUUGGAACCGUGAAAGGAGUAAUCCGCUAUAAGAUGGACCCGCGGCGCAUUAGCUAGUUGGUGAGGUAACGGCCCACCAAGGCGACGAUGCGUAGCCGACCUGAGAGGGUGAUCGGCCACAUUGGAACUGAGACACGGUGGAGACUCUACGGGAGGUAGCAGUGGGGAAUAUUGCGCAAUGGGGGAAACCCUGACGCAGCAACGCCGCGUGAAUGAAGAAGGCCUUAGGGUUGUAAAGUUCUGUUUUCUGGGACGAUAAUGACGGUACCAGAGGAGGAAGCCACGGCUAACUACGUGCCAGCAGCCGCGGUAAUACGUAGGUGGCAAGCGUUGUCCGGAUUUACUGGGCGUAAAGGAUGCGUAGGCGGAUGUUUAAGUGAGAUGUGAAAUACCCGAGCUCAACUUGGGUGCUGCAUUUCAAACUGGAUAUCUAGAGUGCAGGAGAGGAAAGCGGAAUUCCUAGUGUAGCGGUGAAAUGCGUAGAGAUUAGGAAGAACACCAGUGGCGAAGGCGGCUUUCUGGACUGUAACUGACGCUGAGGCAUGAAAGCGUGGGGAGCAAACAGGAUUAGAUACCCUGGUAGUCCCAGSCGUAAACGAUGAAUACUAGGUGUAGGAGGUUUCGACUCCUUCUGUGCCGCACUUAACACAAUAAGUAUUCCGCCUGGGGAGUUACGAUCGCCGAGUUUAAUACUCAUAGGCAUUGACGGGGGCCCGCACAAGCAGCGGAGCAUGUGGUUUACAUUCGACGCAACGCGAAGAACCUAUACCUAGACUUGACACUCUCCUGAAUUAUCCCUUAAUCUGGGGAAACCGUCGGGGCAGGAAGACAGGUGGUGCGUGGUUGUCGUCAGCUCGUGUCGUGAGAUGUUGGGUUAUGUCCCGCGCGAGCGCGACCCUUUUCAUUAGUUGCUACCAUUAAGUUGAGCACUCUAGUGAGACUGCCACGGAUAACGGGAAGGAAGGUGGGGAUGACGUCAAAUGAUCAUGCCCCUUAUGACUAGGGCUACACACGUGCAACAAUGGUGAAUACAAAUAGAUGCGAUACCGCGAGUGGAGCCAAACCACAAAAUCUCAUCCCAGUUCGGAUUGUAGUCUGAAACUCGACUACAGUGAAGCCGGAGUUGCUAGUAAUCGCGA